rnacentral:rRNA from 1 species
AUGAACGCUAGCUACAGGCUUAACACAUGCAAGUCGAGGGGCAGCGGGAUUGAAGCUUGCUUCAAUUGCCGGCGACCGGCGCACGGGUGAGUAACGCGUAUCCAACCUUCCGCUUACUCGGGGAUAGCCUUUCGAAAGAAAGAUUAAUACCCGAUGGUAUCUUAAGCACGCAUGAGAUUAAGAUUAAAGAUUUAUCGGUAAGCGAUGGGGAUGCGUUCCAUUAGGCAGUUGGCGGGGUAACGGCCCACCAAACCUACGAUGGAUAGGGGUUCUGAGAGGAAGGUCCCCCACAUUGGAACUGAGACACGGUCCAAACUCCUACGGGAGGCAGCAGUGAGGAAUAUUGGUCAAUGGGCGAGAGCCUGAACCAGCCAAGUAGCGUGAAGGAUGACGGCCCUACGGGUUGUAAACUUCUUUUGUGCGGGAAUAAAGGAACCUACGUGUAGGUUUUUGCAUGUACCGUAACGAAUAAGCAUCGGCUAACUCCGUGCCAGCAGCCGCGGUAAUACGGAGGAUGCGAGCGUUAUCCGGAUUUAUUGGGUUUAAAGGGAGCGUAGACGGGUUUUUAAGUCAGCUGUGAAAGUUUGGGGCUCAACCUUAAAAUUGCAGUUGAAACUGGAGACCUUGAGUACGGUUGAGGCAGGCGGAAUUCGUGGUGUAGCGGUGAAAUGCUUAGAUAUCACGAAGAACCCCGAUUGCGAAGGCAGCCUGCUAAGCCGCCACUGACGUUGAGGCUCGAAAGUGCGGGUAUCAAACAGGAUUAGAUACCCUGGUAGUCCGCACGGUAAACGAUGGAUACUCGCUGUUGGCGAUAGACAGUCAGCGGCCAAGCGAAAGCGUUAAGUAUCCCACCUGGGGAGUACGCCGGCAACGGUGAAACUCAAAGGAAUUGACGGGGGCCCGCACAAGCAGUGGAGUAUGUGGUUUAAUUCGAAGCAACGCGAAGAACCUUACCAAGUCUUGACAUCCCUUGACGAUGCUGGAAACAGUAUUUCUCUUCGGAGCAAGGAGACAGGUGGUGCAUGGUUGUCGUCAGCUCGUGCCGUGAGGUGUCGGCUUAAGUGCCAUAACGAGCGCAACCCUUGCUGCCAGUUACUAACAGGUCAUGCUGAGGACUCUGGCAGGACUGCCAUCGUAAGAUGCGAGGAAGGUGGGGAUGACGUCAAAUCAGCACGGCCCUUACGUCCGGGGCUACACACGUGUUACAAUGGGGAGUACAGAGGGCAGCUACCGGGCGACCGGAUGCGAAUCCCGAAAGCUCCUCUCAGUUCGGACUGGAGUCUGCAACCCGACUCCACGAAGCUGGAUUCGCUAGUAAUCGCGCAUCAGCCACGGCGCGGUGAAUACGUUCCCGGGCCUUGUACACACCGCCCGUCAAGCCAUGAAAGCCGGGGGUACCUGAAGUACGUAACCGCGAGGAUCGUCCUAGGGUAAAACCGGUAAUUGGGGCU